GGUUGUCUGCUCCAGAGGCUUCCCUAGAGUGAAGAGCUCUACUAUGUAUGCUUUAUGCGGCAGAAGGAGUGCUUUGGAGGAGUUUUUAAAUUUGUUUUUUUUUUAAAUCUUAUCGGUUUUAAUUGUAGCAAUGAUUCAAGAAACGUUAGUAGGUGCCCAUAACUUCGGUGGUGGAGAUCCAAAAGUGAACAAGACAGUGUUCUGGCUGCUAAAUUCUUCUUAACUGGUUAUGCCUGGAGACCUUCACUUGGUUCUGUGCCAGCACUGCCCAUGAACUUCAUAGACUGUGAUCUUUGCUAAGGCCUAAAUGAAUGAAGAGUCUGAUGCUUGGCUGUCUGAAACCUAUUCCUGAAAUGAAAACUGUGAGAUCACAUAUCCAGCAUUGUUUCUCAAAUAGAACUAGAAAUAAUAGCCUAAGAAAUGUACCAUCAGCUGGAACUGGAAAGAAUUGUGAUACUUGAAGAGACUUAGCACUUGGUGGACUAUGAUUUUCUAUCAAUCAAGUCAAGCACUGCUACCCAGUCUUCACUACAGAGUGCACCGGAAAGAAUGAUCCAGCAGUAAAAUGCUUUAUGAACUAUCCAUAUGGAAACCAUUGGCAAUAACACAUCCUGGCAUAUGGCUCUGAGAUGUAUAAAGGCACAGUGAAUUCCUGAAUCAUCCUUUGAUCUUCCACAAGACUCAGUAUCACUGAUUAACUACAAUUUGAAUAUAGUUCAUCACUGAAGGAAUGAGUGAGUGAAUGAGAAAGUGAGCAAAUGAGGCCGUGGAGGUCACUUAAACCAGGGAUCAGGUUCAUAGAGGUCACCCAACACAAGAUGGAAUAGUCAAGUAAACCAAGUUUACGGAGUUAGACAAAACUCCAUAAGGCAAGGUCAACAAAGGCAGCUCUGACGGACUGUUCAAUCCUGACUUUAGGCUGAUGCUGGUCUCUACUCUGUCUUCCUCCUGAGAGUAGGGGGCCUGGGGGCCCUUAAAUAAUUGCUGGUGUUAAAAGGGAGUUCAAUAUUUUCAAGCAUACCUAGCUUCUGUUUGAAGAGAGACAGGGUAGAAGAAUUACCUGGAAGGGAUAGGGUACACACUGCCACCUCCAUUGCUAUAACGUUUUACUCUUGUCAACAGACUUUCACAUAUAUGCUCUUGAGUCAAGCACAGGAAGAAAUAAAUUUUGCUGCUGAAUUUGAAGCAAUUGGCCAUGGAAGCCAGUCUUCAGGGGCAUUAAAACAAAUGCCUAACAAAAGUUUAUUAUAAGGCACUUGCUCCACCUGAACUCAUUUCAUCGUUAGAAAAAAAUCUAAGAAGUAAAAAUUAAUAUCCUUCCCUUUUCACAAGAUGAUGGAAUCAAGAGCCUUAACAAGUUUUAAUGGCCUGCCAAGGGUCAUUUGUCAACUUCUGAGUCUAAUGUCUAUGUUCUACUCAUGACAUGGCAGUUGUGGUAUAGAGGGAUCUGAUACAUCAUGAAAAUAUAAACCCACAGAUUUUGAUUCUAAGAAAGUGACCCAAGUUGUGCUCAUUAUGGUUUUGCUUAAAAUUAAAGUUUAGAUUGAAA
ensembl:lncRNA HCCS-DT HCCS divergent transcript